rnacentral:rRNA from 1 species
GACGAACGCUGGCGGCGUGCUUAACACAUGCAAGUCGAGCGGUAAGGCCCUUUCGGGGGUACACGAGCGGCGAACGGGUGAGUAACACGUGGGUGACCUGCCCUCAGCUCUGGGAUAAGCCUGGGAAACCGGGUCUAAUACCGGAUAUGACUCCAUGACGCAUGUUGUGGGGUGGAAAGCCUUGUGCGGCUGAGGAUGGGCCCGCGGCCUAUCAGCUUGUUGGUGGGGUGAUGGCCGUACCAACGGACGGACGACGGGUAGGCCGGCCGUCGA